GGUGAUAUGCUCAGUGAUAGAGCACUUGUCUGGCAUGUGCAAAGCCCUAGGUUCAAUUCCCAGUACCCCCA
rnacentral:tRNA from 1 species